UUUACUACAUGGAUAACCGUGGUAAUUCUACAGCUAAUACAUGCCAAGGGCCCGACUCCGGGAGGGCCGUAUUUAUUAGAUAAAACCAACGCCAGCAAUGGCCAGUGGCGAGUCAUGAUAACUGCGCGGAUCGCAUGGCCGUGUGCCGGCGACGCAUCAUUCAGAUUUCUGCCCUAUCAACUUUCGACGGUAGGAUCGAGGCCUACCGUGGUGGCGACGGGUAACGGGGAAUUGGGGUUCGAUUCCGGAGAGGGAGCCUGAGAAAUGGCUACCACUUCCAAGGAAGGCAGCAGGCGCGCAAAUUACCCAAUCCUGACACAGGGAGGUAGUGACAGUAAAUAACGAUGCGGGGCCCUUUGGGUCUUGCAAUUGGAAUGAGAACAAGGUAAAGAGGUUAGCGAGUAACAAUUGGAAGGCAAGUCUGGUGCCAGCAGCCGCGGUAAUUCCAGCUCCAAUAGCGUAUAUUAAAGUUGUUGCAGUUAAAAAGCUCGUAGUUGGACCAGGCCGGGCGGGAGUGGUGUGUCGCAAAGCGCAGCGCGUCAGCCCGGCAUUAGGGGAGCUGUCAUUAGACAGGGAUCCCCGGGUUACUGUGAAGAAAUUAGAGUGUUUAAAGCAGGCAAUCGCUUGGAUACAUCAGCAUGGAAUAACAAGAUAGGACUGGCGUCCAGGUUGUUGGUUUGGGGGCGCAAGUAAUGAUUAAUAGGGGCGGUUGGGGGCAUUAGUAUUCAGCAGUCAGAGGUGAAAUUCUUGGAUUUGGUGAAGACUAACUAGAGCGAAAGCAUUUGCCAAGGAUGUUUUCAUUAAUCAAGAACGAAAGUUAGGGGAUCGAAGA
rnacentral:rRNA from 1 species